rnacentral:misc_RNA from 1 species
AAGUCGUAACAAGGUUUCCGUAGGUGAACCUGCGGAAGGAUCAUUAUGAAUAAGUAGUUCGCUACUUUGCUGGGGGAGAUGGGAAAGUCCUGGCUGAAAAGCCAGUGUACCGGUACCUGCACCCCUAUCAUACCCUUGUCUUUUGAGUACUUAUGUUUCCUUGGUAGGCUUGCUUACCAGUUGGACAAUUUACAAACCUUUAUUUUAUAAAUCAGCGUCUGAAUAAAUUAAUAAUUACAACUUUCAACAACGGAUCUCUUGGUUCUG